rnacentral:rRNA from 1 species
UACGAAGGGGGCUAGCGUUGUUCGGAAUCACUGGGCGUAAAGCGCACGUAGGCGGAUUGUUAAGUCAGGGGUGAAAGCCUGGAGCUCAACUCCAGAACUGCCCUUGAUACUGGCAAUCUCGAGUCCGGAAGAGGUAAGUGGAACUCCGAGUGUAGAGGUGAAAUUCGUAGAUAUUCGGAAGAACACCAGUGGCGAAGGCGGCUUACUGGUCCGGUACUGACGCUGAGGUGCGAAAGCGUGGGGA